rnacentral:lncRNA from 1 species
UCUUUCACUCAGCAAAUACACUAACUCACAAACACACUCUGCAACAUUCUGCGACGACAACAGCUACGACAACCGCAACGACAAGGCACCUUGCGGCUCUGCAAUACUCUGCAACAGAGACGGCAACGACGACGGCAACACACCCUGCAGCAAUGGCGACGACAACGCACUCUGCACGGCAACGACAAUGCACUCUGCACGGUGACGGCAACGCACUCUCGCACUCUACAACAAUGGAGUUUCUCUGCUCCGAAGAACCUCUUCAAGUGUCAGAUUCGAUUCGUGUUCAUUCUCUCUCUUUGUUUUUAUUUUUUUGCUUCGAAGCUCCGCAUAAGUUUACUUACAGUGUAUCUUCCCCAUCUUCAACCCUAAAUUUAUUCUGUGGACAGAGAUUUUGCUUACAAUUGCUUCACCGGUUCGAUUCAAGAGGAAUGGGCUUCAAUGUGAGUCUGAGUCUUUUCCAACUACUGCAAACUUUUCGUUCUACAAUUCUUAUUUUAUAUUAGUUAUAUAUUACGUAAAACUGUGUGCAGUUCUCUUCUUGUGAAUCCCUUAUCUGGAAAAUUCCAAAGCAUCUAGGAAAUUUUACCUCUCUUAGAUACCUGUAUGUUCCAAGCUUUAAUUCAAUUCCUUCCUAUGUCCUAGAUAUUAUCAUGUUUAUAGAAAUCCUCAAGAAUGAGGUAUACUUUGAAAGUGUUAUUGUGGUAGUAUGUGGUUUAUCAUCCUUACUAACCUCUUCAUUUGUCUUGUCUCCAAUUAGGAUGCUUGAAGCAAACCAAUUUUCUGGUGCUGUUCCACCGGAGCUUGGGAAACUAAUUAACUUGGAGACAUUGUAAGACACCAAUUCUUUCAUUUUUAAUAUUAUUAUUAUUUUUACUUUCUCUUAAGAUAUCAUGUUUUCCUAUGAUUUUUUACAACAUUUGACUGACUUGUGAGCUUUGAUAUUUGACCUUCUUCUUAAUUAUAACCCAACUACUUAACUCAUAUAGUGCAUCUCAUGCAUACAAUUCAUUAUCACACUGCAGUAGAAUAAAUGAUAACAAUUUACUAGAACAAUACCUAGUUUCAUACAGAGCAGGCAACUUCUCCAAAGACUGUGAGAUUCUAAUUCUUUCUUUGUUAAAUGAUUUGACUAUGCAAUUUUUCUACUGGAUAAUUUUCAACCAAUUUUCAUGAUUCCAGAAUCAUGUAAUGUACACAAUUUUUAUAAUGAAACUAAAUAUUUGUUUUUAUGUUAAAUUAUUGACACAAUGAAUUAAACAGUAGCAUGUAAGUUUCUUGUGGUUCAA